rnacentral:rRNA from 1 species
AACCUGCGGAGGGAUCAUUACUGAGUGAGGGCUCACGCCCGACCUCCAACCCUUUGUGAACCAAACUUGUUGCUUCGGGGGCGACCCUGCCGACGACUUUGUCGCCGGGCGCCCCCGGAGGUCUUCUCAACACUGCAUCUUUGCGUCGGAGUUUAAACAAAUUAAACAAAACUUUCAACAACGGAUCUCUUGGUUCUGGCAUCGAUGAAGAACGCAGCGAAAUGCGAUAAGUAAUGUGAAUUGCAGAAUUCAGUGAAUCAUCGAAUCUUUGAACGCACAUUGCGCCCUUUGGUAUUCCGAAGGGCAUGCCUGUUCGAGCGUCAUUUCACCACUCAAGCCUGGCUUGGUAUUGGGCGUCGCGGUUUUCCGCGCGCCUUAAAGUCUUCCGGCUGAGCUGUCCGUCUCUAAGCGUUGUGGAUUUUUCAAUUCGCUUCGGAGUGCGGGUGGCCGCGGCCGUUAAAUCUUUAUUCAAAGGUUGACCUCGGAUCAGGUAGG